CGUCCCGGAAGUUGGGACCCUUAGACCGCUUUCCGUGGAUCUUGGGUGUGAGAGUUUUGGAGGCAGCUUGGUGGAUCCAGAUAGCUUUCCACGCAGUUCAUCUACUGAACGUGGGAAACACAUGGUGGCUCUUGGAAGUUGCUAAUGUCCUAACCCUGGGAGCUGCUUCACACUACAUUUCAUGGUUAAAGGGACAGUGCCAAUGUGCUGAAGAUUGUGAUGUGGAGAAAAUUAUCCUGGGUUGUUCAGACAGGAUUGAAGAAAUCACAAGGAUCAGAGAGGAAGAGGGCCAGAGUCUCAGAAGACACUGACAUUGGAAGCAAUGAAGGGGAGACCGGGAUGUGAUGGUGGAAGCAGAGACUCGUGGGAGACUGCGUGCAUUGCUGCCAUGAAGAUGGAAGGCGGAAGCCACAAAGUAAGGAAUGCAGGAAUUUCUAGGGGAAAAGCAAGAAAAAAAAUGAAUCUUCAGAAGCAUGGGCCAGCCAACACCUUAAUUUCAGCCCAUUGAAAUAAACUUUGAAGUUCUUAACUCUUGAA